AUUGAACGCUGGCGGCAGGCCUAACACCUGCAAUUCGAGCGAGCGGCGGACGGGUGAGUAAUGUAUGGUGACUGCACGAUAGAGGGGGAUAACUACUGGACACGGUAGCUAAUACCGCAUACUAUCGAAUAACCCAUAUGGGAUUAGCUAGUAGGUGAGGUAAUGGCUCACCUAGGCGACGAUCCCUAGCUGGUCUGAGAGGAUGAUCAGCUACACUGGGAUGGAGACAAGGCCCAGACUCCCACGGAGGCAGCAGUGGGGAAUAGUGCACAAUGGGCGCAAGCCUGAUGCAGCCAUGCCGCGUGUAUGAAGAAGGCCCUAGGGUUGUAAAGUACUUUCAGUCGGGAGGCGUUACCGACAGAAGAAGCACCGGCUAACUCCGUGCCAGCAGCCGCGGUAAUAC
rnacentral:rRNA from 1 species